GACGAACGCUGGCGGCGUGCCUAAUACAUGCAAGUAGAACGCAGUUGCGAACGGGUGAGUAACGCGUCGGUAACUGCCUCAUAGCGGGGGAUAACUAUUGGAAACGAUAGCUAAUACCGCAUACUGUGAGAUGGACGUGCGUUGGAUUAGCUAGUUGGUGGGGUAAAGGCUCACCAAGGCGCAGAUACAUAGCCGACCUGAGAGGGUUGACGGCCAAAAUGGGAAUGAGAAACGGCCCAGACUCCUACGGGAGGCAGCAGGAGGGAAUCUUCGGCAAUGGACGGAAGUCUGAACGAGGAAAGCCGCGGUGGUGAAUAAGGUUUUCGGAGCGGAAAGCUAUGUUGGUAGAGAAGCGGUAACUAACCAGAAAGCGCCGGCUAACUACGUGCCAGCAGCCGCGGUAAUAC
rnacentral:rRNA from 1 species